CAACGCAUGCCGAAUAAUCGCCUAUCGGCUUUAUAUCUUUUGGAUUCGUAAUUUUGACUAAUAGUAGCAUCGGAACUACUAAAAGUAAUAUAUUAAGAAUAUUCGUUGCCCCAGCAAUAUUAUAAUUUUUCUUUUACACUCAAGAGAGAAAUAAAAAAGAGACUUAAUGUACACGUGUGCCCCAAUUAAUACUUGAGCAGCUUUGUCGUUUUGUAUUGAUGUAAAUAUUAUACCCAAGGAUCAAUACAUUUUUGAAAUUACUAAAAGUUUCACAAGAAAGAAUCUUUGGAAUGUUAUUUGCAAACAUUAUUUUCUAAUUUUAUAAAAUAUGGAAAUCCAAGCCAUAACAAAGAUCCCAUUGAAGAAUUUUAAAUUUUAAACCAGUUCAGCCCAGGAGUAAACCGAAUCAAUUUAAUUUCAUCGAUGUCACAAAUACUGACUACGUACCGGGAGUAGCGCCAAGUGGAAAUAGAAUGCAAUUUUUGGAUUCGGUUGUUGUAGAAAUGAUGAAAUUGGUUCGCGAACACAAUGACACACCAACCAAAA